UACUUCGUAGUUCAUAUGGCUAGAACGUUAGACUUGUAAUCUAAAGGCAGUAGGUUCAAAUCCUACCAAUUUAU
rnacentral:tRNA from 1 species